UUGACCUCGGAUCAGGUAGGGAUACCCGCUGAACUUAAGCAUAUCAAUAAGCGGAGGAAAAGAAACCAACAGGGAUUGCCCCAGUAACGGCGAGUGAAGCGGCAAGAGCUCAAAUUUGAAAGCUGGCU
rnacentral:rRNA from 4 species